UAAGAAUCUGGCUCAAUGAUGACAUAAAAAUAACAGCAACAUUAUAAGAAAUUGCUUGGAGGUGAUUAUAAAAUGCCUGUAGCUCAUAGGAACAUCUCAUGAUUUAUUUGUCACUGCUUGGAGGCUAAAAGAACUUAUCUAAAGCCAUUUAAAAUUGUAUUUAUAAAACUGAGAUGGAUGAGUGUUUAGGGGAGUCAUUGUGUGUAAACAUAUAGGAAUAAUUGAUCUAAUUACCCAUGAUCCGAUCACUAUAUUGGAAAAAUAUUUAUCUUGAUAAGAUCAAGUUCAUUUUCAUGUCACCCCUAAUGAUUCUAUCAGAAAUUAUAUCUCUCAAUUUCUCAUCAUUAUUAUCUUAGCCUCAAAACAUAUUUGUAUUUUUAGUCUGACUUUAACAGUCUUCUCAUUUAGAAGAUGCCAGUCAAAUAUCAUCAUCGAUAGCAACCACUGAAAAUGAUAAUGAUUAGAUUCUAAUUCUAUGCACAGUGACCACAAUGGAGAGACUGAGGAUUAUCAUCCAGCACCACAUACCAACAGAAUAACGUGUGUCACUGACAUGUGAGUAGAACUGAAACGAAGCAGCCAGUUCGUUGGUCACUGAGAGGUGAGUCAUAAUACCAGGCAGAGUUGUGAAGACAAAGAAAUAGAAGACAAGUCCAUGAUCUCCUAGAGCUUCUCUCUUGGUUUAAGAGACAAGAAAAAGUUACUUGAACACAUAUGAUGAAUGCAAAUCAUGUAAAUGAAUCCUAAAACAUGGUGGGAGCAGUCCCACCAGGAAGUGCAGGAGUGGAGAGGCCCUGACAUCACAGGGGAGCCAUGGUGGGGGCUUCAUGAAGGAGCAAUCUGAGAGGCCUGAAGGCCAGCAAGCAGCCUGAGAAGGGCAUCGCAGCUGUUGGAAGAGAAAGGGCUGGCUGGACAGAGCUCAGCUCGUGCUUGAGGAGGGAGCAAGGAGUCAAGUGUGCUGAUGUCCUGAUUUGGAAAAUACUGAGAUGGUGAGAAACAAAGCUGGCCAGCUGGUGGGGCCACAGCAUGGAGGUCCUCAAAUACUCGGAUGCAGAGUUUGAACCGAUAUUCUUAUCUGUGCUGAAUUACGACUGGUCAAAGUGUACACUACAAAAUUCUUAAUGCUUCAGCAAUCUUUACUAACCACUUUUUUUCUUCUACUUGUAAAGCCAAAGAGGGACAAGAAAGGGCUAGAGGAAUGUCUCUAGAAUCAAAGUCAAGACCUCCAGAUUCUAGUACUACCUGUGUUGCUACUUAAUUAUAUGAACUUGUGCAAAUCUUGUUAUUCAUCUGUAGUUUAACUUUGCAUUUGCAACACGAGAUGGUAAAACCGAUACAUAACUCAGUAUUUCUUUAAAAAAAAAUGGAAACAAUAAAUGCACAAAACCCAAAAGUUAGCAUUUAGGGAUAUCAAGACUACUGUUGUCAUCACUGUGAUUCUGCAAGUUCUCCAGAAAAAUUCACGUUAGGACAUAUAGAUGCAGGGCUACCUUCAGCCAUCCAUCCAUUCAACUCUGCCCCAGGCGCCCAAACUGCACGCUUUGUGGAGCUUAUAUUCUAACGGGGAAGUAUAAUUGGUUGCUAGGGCUGCCAUAGCACUGCAGACUGGGUGGUUUAAAUAACAGAAUUUUAUUUUUUACAAUUCUGGAGGCCAGAAGUUUGAGAUCAAGGUGUCAGCAGGGUUGCUUCAUCUGAGGCCUCUCUCUUGGACUUGUAGAUGGCUGUCUUCCCCUUGUGUCUUCACAUGGUCCUCCCUCUAUGAGUGUAUGUCCAUGUGCUUAUGUGUGUGCUAAUCUCUUCAUAGAAGGACACCAGUCGUAUUGGAAGAGGGGCUACACAUAUGACCUCAUUUUACCCCAAUUCCCUCUCCAAAGGACCUAUCUCCAAACACAGUCACAGUCUGAGGUACUGGGUGUGAGAUCAUAUGAAUUUUUCAGGGACACAAAUUUGGCCCAUAACAGAGAGAUAAAUAAUAAACAAGUAAACAAAUAAGGAAUAAAUGGAAUAACAUGAAGCAGACUUGUGUGAGUGGAAUUGCUAUAGAGCGAAGAAUGCAAACACCACCUGGCUUUGAAAGACAGAGUGGACUGUCCCUGCAGGAGAGCAGCAAUGGAGGUGUCGCAAGAUGAGACAAGCUCUGUGUGUUUGAGACUGAGCAUGCACCAGUUGGAAGGCUUGGUUUGGGUCCCUGCAGCUUAGGGGCACAGUGCAAAAGUGUCUGAACCACUUCUAUCAAAAGGGCCCCUGGCUAGAGCUGCUGAGGGUGUCCAUGCCUCCAGGAGAGUCUGCCUCUGGGAAGUGGCCGGCUUAGAUGGUGUCCUCAGACAGACUGGGGGUGCCUCCCAUCCAUUCCCAAGAGGAGCUCAGCACGGCAGGGCUGAAAGAAGGAAGGGCAUGGCUGCAGGUAGGUGAAAACAUAGUGAUGUGAUUUAAGGGGACUUCAGGAGAGAGAUUCCUGGAAAUAGGGGUUAGCCUUGGACAAACCCCUCAAACACACCAAAGAGUUACUUACCAUUUGUUGCUGCCUCUGGAAGCUGCUUGAUUGCACCAGCGACUGCUAAAUAACGACUUUUCCCUUUUUUCCUUUUCUUCCCCAACCCCACCUCCACCUUGGAGGGCAGGGAGGCACAGGGUGGGCGGGCAGAGAGGCAGGGAGCACAGCCUGAGGCAGGCAGGGGUUCUGGGAGUUCUGACUGUUGCGGGGGACUGAGGUUUUUACUGAUGGGAAUGAGAGAGUUACUGUGUGGGGGAGAGUAGAGCAAUUAUCUGAGUGUCAGGACGCAGAUGAGACCUGCCUGCCAGCCUGCUUUAGACGCCAGGAGGGAGGAAGCGGGGGCAGAGUGGGAUUUUAGGGGGCGGCGGGCAGGGGCAUCAGCAUCGUUUUCCACGUGUAUUUUGGGGAGUCCUGGUCUUUUGAAAUACUGGUUUUACCUUCCAAGAAAAUACUGGUUAUCUAAAUCACAGCUCCGCAAACUCUGUCAAGGGCCAGAGAGGAAAUAGUUUAGGCUUUGUUGGCCAAGGGCAGCAUCAGGGAUGUUUUGCAGGUCCUUACAGAACAAGCAAGGAAACAUAUCUGCAUGCAGUUUUCAUUGAUGAAAUUCAGAAUAUAAUGAUAGAGCACACAUUUUUGUAAUGCAGGUCUUAUGGAAGAAUGGGAUUCUUUUCUUAAGGGGAAUAUCGUUUUCUUCACUGGAGUUAAAGUUAGUGUUCCCAUCACAAAUCAACUGUAAAUGUUCAUCUGUAUCAGCCAUUCUUAGCUUGAGGGCAGAACAGAAGGAUGGGCCACUGGUUCCUUUGGGCCCACAGGCUAUAGUUUGCCUAGUUUGAUGAGCUUGGCCUAAAAAAAUAUGUUUUAUUUAACUUUAUUAAUCCAUUUGCAAAAAUGAAAUGAAUAGAAAGAGAUGGAACUGCUGGUAGAAAGUGAAUUAUAUUUGCUGAAGCCCUCUGGGGUAAUGGAUAAUCCCUAUCCUCUCAGAGAAAGAGCAAAGGAGACUUGGUUUUCUUUCUUCAAUAUGAUUUCAUGAGAAGCAUGGAACAAUUAGACAUAUCUCAUGAUACCAAAGUAAGUUUUUAUUUUGUCUUCAUCAAUCAUUUAAUAAUUGAUCUGCAUUUUUCUGUGCACCCUUUCAUAAUUAUUAAUGCCCAAGAAAGUACAAAUAUUAGUCAACCUCUUCCCAGUUUGUGGCAGGACAUGAAUGGAGUUGUCUAAAUGCCACAGUUCUGAACGUGACAAAUAUUAUCGACUUCUAGGUUACAAAUCGUGUGUGUGUGUGUGUGUGUGUGUGUGUGUGUGUUGGGGUGGAAUGAAGGGCACAGAAAAAAGAAGAAAGAAGAGGGGCAGAAUGACAGAUUAUGUGUAGUAAAAUGGGAUGGGGCAUGCUGGGACGGGAUAGCUGGAGAAGUUUAGACACAGGAUUCGCUGCAUUUGUAAAUUAUGGCUAAAAUAUUUCACAGAUCCAAUAGGAUUCCUUGACAUUUCUGUACCUCACAUACAGCAGCUUUAUAAAUAUAUACAUAAGUGAGGCUCUUAAUGUGGGAGGAAUAUAAGUGCAUUUCUCAUGAGCAAUUGC
rnacentral:lncRNA from 1 species